CCCGGUUACUGGAGCGAUUUGGAACCACCCUUACCCAUCCCGAACAAGGAAGUGAAACGAAUCAGCGCCGAUGAUACUCGCCGCAAAUCGUGGCAGGGGAAACUAGGUCGUAGCCGGGU
rnacentral:rRNA from 1 species